UAAUUUUCAUUCAAUUCGUCAAACGAAAACGAAAACAUCCCGACGCCACAAACUUGUCUCUGUUUUCGACCUCCACCUCUGCUCCCAUCGCCACCCAACCCCAGCCGCCGCCCCCAACCCCGGCGACCCCUCCGCUCGCCUUCUCUCCAUGGCCGCGGAUCCACUCCAGCAGCGCCCCUCCCUCCUCGCGCUGGAAACCCUAGCCAGCCAUGGCGACCCACGGCGACCCCCAGGUAGGAGAUGCAGCAGUCCAUCACCAGCGGCAACACCACCAUGGCGACCAGUACCGGCCUGCCUUCCUCCUCCUCCUCGCGCCGGAAGUUCAUGGCGGCGGCCAGAUCCGCGUCGGUACAGGACGCCCUCCUCUUCAAGGUCAAAGCGCAAAGCUUGUGGUCUCCUGCAGCUCCGACCCGUCCCUGCCGCUGCUACCACUCCUAUGCUCCAUGUGUUUAUCCCGCCAAGGAACACGGACGCCGCCAGGGUGGGGUGGCUGCUGUUGUGCCGAGCAGCAGAGGUCGCUCAUCUCCGUGCACCGGCAACGGUGUCUUGCAGUGGAGGGUGGUUCGGAGGGCACCAGGAGAGAGAUCGUAUCAGUUGUGCUCUGGAGCUUCUCCUCUUCACAGAAGUGCACGCACGCGGGGGUCUGCACACAUUAGAAACAGCCAGACUCUGUUCUUGUCCUCUGUAUUCGGCGUCGUCGGUUAGGAAACAGUAGGUCAAAGUGCAAAGCUUGUGGUCUCCUGCAGCUCCGACCCGUCCUUGCCGCUGCUACCACUGCUCUGCUCCAUGUGUUUAUCCCGCCAAGGAGCGCAGACGCCGCCAGGGUGGGGUGGCUGCUGUUGCGCCGACGCAGCAGAGGACGCUCAUCUCUGUGCGCUCUCUUCUUUUAACUCAGGGGAAAUGCGAUCGGGCGGCGCUAAGCAAAAGAAAUGGAACUAUAAUUAAACAAUUAAGUUAAGUCUUGUCCUGUCUUUGAUGGCUUCUGAUUUUUCUUCUUGUAAUCAUCGCCCAGAUAUUAUUUACUCCCAAGAUGGAGGCCUUGGUGUUAGGACCAUACGGCUGUUAAUCUCUCUCUUUUAACUGCAGCAGAGCAUGGAGAAUUGUCCCCCAACAAGAUAUAACAGCAGUAAAAAAUUUGAAGGCCAACUAUUUCCCUGACACUUCCUUCUGGAGAUGCAAUGCAGCAUGGAGAAUUGUCUUCAAACAAGACACCACAACAAUAAAAAAGUUGAAGGCUAACUAUUUCCCAGACACUUCCUUCUGCAUAUGAAGGCUAACUAUUUCCCAGACACUUCCUUCUGCAUAUGCAAUGGAAGUAGUUGCAGCAAUUCAGUUUCAUUGUUUAGACAAUGGCAUGCUGUAUAAAUAUCACAUGGUUGCAACUGUUGCUGCAGUCCAAGAGAAGCAAAACAGAUUCAUAUCAGUGAGUAGAAUGCAUAAAGUGCCAAAAUAGCACUGUCAGUUGUAUCUUGUGAGAAAAAAGGGGCACAAUUAUCGCAGAUUCAAACAGGAAAUUAUGUGCAUUGGAACCAAAACUUUGCAUAAGAUUCGAUCCUCAAUGGCUUCUUGCAGGAACGACGUUUAGUCCUCCUGUUAUCACGAUUAUCCCACCGCUCUCCAGCAGCUCCGACCCCUAGUGCUGGCUGACGCCAUGGAAGUGGCCCGAGUACAAACUCAGACCUGAGCUCUUGUUGGCGCGGCCUGCAGCUCUCUAGUGACGGUGGUGUGCCGCCCUGCUUACGGCACCGACGAGACAGCCAGGUUUUUGCCAUGUAACCUCGGCGUCGACUCACACGACCGCCUUCUCGGCUAUCACUACUCAGGCCUGACUGGUUGGAAUUAAGUACUCCAAUGCUCUUAUAUUAUGGGACGGGGGGAGUACAUCUGGGUUUUUCAAGAAUGGAAGUCCCUCACUUUGGCCAUUAUGGAACAUUUUGUUGCCAACUUGAUGGUAGCAAAAAUUCUCUAUCUUGUAUAUUUUGUUUCUGGAUUUUGUAUGUUAUACUAGUUCAUGUGUUGUCAUCAUACUUCUUUCUCUGUUUUACCAUUAUGUUAAUUAGAAAGGUUCCUCAUACAAAGAAAAUAUGUAGUCAGUUUAAAUAUGGUCAAAAGGGAGCUUGGGCCUAUUGUAGUUUAAAUUACUUAUUGGCUGGUUAGAAGAAAAAUCUCUCUGUGCCUA